UGUGUGUGUGUUAGGGUGCUGUGUGUAUGUGAGGGCACUGUGUGAGUGUGUGUGAGGGUGCUGUGUGUGUGUGAGGGCACUGUUAGUGUGUGUAUGUGUGAAGGUGCUGUGUGUGAGGGUGCUGUGUGUCUAUAAGGGUGCUGUUAGUGUGUGUGUGUGUGUGUGUAAGGGUGCUGUGUGUGUAAGGGUGCUGUGUGUGUAAGGGUGCUGUUAGUGUUUGCUGUGUGUGUGUAUGUCCAAAGGUGCUGUGUGUGAGGGUGCUGUUAGUGUGUGCUGUGUAAGGGUACUGUGUGUGUGUGUGUGUCUGAGGGUGUUGUUAGUGUGUGCUGUGUGUGUAUAUGUGUGAGGGUGCUGUUAGUGUGUGCUGUGUGUGUAUGUGUGAGGGUGCUGUGUGUAUAAGGGAGCUGUUAGUGUAUUCUGUGUGUGUGUAUAUGUAAGGGUGCUGUGUGUGAGGGUGCUGUUAGUGUGUGCUGUGUGUGUAUGUGUAAGGGUGCUGUGUGUGUGAGUGUUAUGCUACCUGCGUUAUUUGGACUGGAACUCAACUGCAGCUUGUAGAACUCCUUAAUUACAAUAGUAAAGAAACGAAGAAUCUUUAAAGUAUCAAUACUGUAGCUUUAAGAAAAGAGAGGAUUGCUGGCAAUUUGAGAAUCAAACAAAGUUUUAAUGAUUGAUAAACUUACAUGAAUUGCAUAUAGGCAAUAAUCCAAUAAGAAGAAAGUGCAGGUUAUCAAACAAUACAAAGUUCAUUAAUAAGAAUUUCCUCAGAGAAGUUUUUUUAAUAAGAUUCUUUAGGUUGCUGGGAAUAAUCUUCAAUAGAAACAUUAAGCAGGUAGCAGAGAGUAUUUGCAAAGCAAGAAACAGUUGAUGGGAGUUGUCCUCCAUAUAAUUAGUAACUUGAAGCAGAGAAGAUUUGAGCAAGCAGGAAUUGGUUCAUUAAUAAAUGAUAUUGCAGACAAUAGUUGAAAGAUAUACUUAAGGUUAAGGUGAAUUGUCCUCCAAGAGUUCAGAGUUAUAGUCCACUUGUAAAUUAGCAAAGUAUCCGU